GAUGAACGCUGGCGGCGUGCCUAAUACAUGCAAGUCGAGCGAACAGAUGAGGAGCUUGCUCCUCUGACGCUAGCGGCGGACGGGUGAGUAACACGUGGAUAACCUACCUAUAAGACUGGGAUAACUUCGGGAAACCGGAGCUAAUACCGGAUAAUAUAUUGAACCGCAUGGUUCAAUAGUGAAAGACGGUUUUGCUGUCACUUAUAGAUGGAUCCGCGCCGCAUUAGCUAGUUGGUAAGGUAACGGCUUACCAAGGCAACGAUGCGUAGCCGACCUGAGAGGGUGAUCGGCCACACUGGAACUGAGACACGGUCCAGACUCCUACGGGAGGCAGCAGUAGGGAAUCUUCCGCAACGGGCGAAAGCCUGACGGAGCAACGCCGCGUGAGUGAUGAAGGUCUUCGGAUCGUAAAACUCUGUUAUUAGGGAAGAACAAAUGUGUAAGUAACUAUGCACGUCUUGACGGUACCUAAUCAGAAAGCCACGGCUAACUACGUG
rnacentral:rRNA from 1 species